GUGUAAAGCCCCUUCGACGAGUCGAGUUGUUUGGGAAUGCAGCUCUAAAUGGGAGAUAAAUUUCUUCUAAAGCUAAAUAUUGGCCAGAGACCGAUAGCGCACAAGUAGAGUGAUCGAAAGAUGAAAAGCACUUUGGAAAGAGAGUCAAAAAGCACGUGAAAUUGUUGAAAGGGAAGCGCUUGCAGCCAGACGUGCCCGCAGUUGCUCACCUAGGCUUUUGCCUGGGGCACUCUUCUGCGGGCAGGCCAGCAUCAGUUCGGGCGGUUGGAUAAAGGCCUCUAUCACGUAUCUUCCUUCGGGAUGACCUUAUAGGGGAGGCGCAACACGGCCAGCCUGAACUGAGGACCGCGCAUCAGCUAGGAUGCUGGCGUAAUGGCUGUAAGCGGCCCGUCUUGAAACACGGACCAAGGAGUCUAACAUCUAUGCGAGUGUUUGGGUGUCAAGCCCGGACGCGCAAUGAAAGUGAACGGAGGUGGGAACCUUUCGGGGUGCACCAUCGACCGAUCCUGAAGUCUUCGGAUGGAUUUGAGUAAGAGCAUAGCUGUUGGGACCCGAAAGAUGGUGAACUAUGCCUGAAUAGGGUGAAGCCAGGGGAAACCCUGGUGGAGGCUCGCAGCGGUUCUGACGUGCAAAUCGAUCGUCAAAUUUGGGCAU
rnacentral:rRNA from 1 species